GUUAAGCGCCUCCAAUGAGUUUCCCAUAGAGCUGCUCACGAUACCACACUCAGGCAGGUCACGGGGCAUAAGAAAUACCUUAAUGCUUUAUUGUUUGACAUUUUGACUAAGGAAAAAAGCCCACACUUCUGUAGGUUCAGCCUAUUGUGACAUUUUUCUCUAUCUUCCUUCUCCUUCAGAUACCUCCAUGGCUUCUUGCUAGAAACUACAGCUCACGUUCGACCAUAUUGCUAGAUAACAGCACAGUCAGCCAGCCUGAUCUUAGACACACACUAGAAAAUGUGACUUUGGCAAUAUAUUACAGCAUAAAACACAGAUCUGCAAAUAGAUCUCUGGCUAUUUUGGAAGAGCCAAUACAUCCACUUUCAGUAAGUGUCACUUUCUUUGAGGUUCUAUUUUUGUCUCAUAGAGUUGUAUUUAGUUCAUGCUGAAGUCAAAAUCACCCACCUUUAAGUCUUCCCUCUGUUGUAUCUAAUCAUCUUAUAUAAGGAGUGUUGUCCAGUGGGCAUGCUGGAGUAAGAGCUGACUUGCAGCUCGGUUUAAUUAGUGCACUAAGGGGAGUAAAUAUACCAUCCAAAUA